GGAUCACCUGGAGCACUUGGACCGUCUGGAGGACAGUGGAGCGAUCUUCUCAUUGUCUCAUUGUCUGGUUACAUUUCCCCAUUUUCGCCUGUUUAAUUGUGGGGCUAGCCAGGGCUGCUCCCAGCUUACCUGGAAUCACUUUCAUUUAUAGUAUCCCCAUAGGUUGGCUUUAUUUUGGGUGCGUGCAGUGCUGUUGGCCAAAUUUUAAUCUAGCCUUGGGCGGGAGCACUAUUUUGAGUUCCUUUAAUAUUGCAAUGAGACAAAAAAGGCAGAGAGCAGAAGCAGGGAGGCCUGCACGGCCUGCACAUAUCAUGCAAGCCUAAACCUGCUACAGUUAGCAGUACAGUAAAUUGUUAAGUUUCUGUGACAUGUGACUCAUUCUCUCUAUUAAGAAUGUAUCUGUUUGUUUGCAGGUUCACUUGUUGCUAAUGUAUAUCUUAGGCAGACAGAGUGGAGCCAGAGGGUCUCUGUGCCACCAAUGAGCACUCUUUGUAUGCUCUUUAACUAUGCUGUUUCUGAACAAGUUUAUUUUCUUCAAGUUUGUUUUUCCCUGAUAGUGGCGACUGCUGUUUUAGAGACGAGCCAUUGUGGCUUAGUGGCUAGAGUACAGGACUAGGACCUGGGAGACAGGGUUCAUAUCCCCCACUUAGCCAUUGUUAUAACAAAGCAAAACAAGCUGCUCCUUUUGGACUAUUUUGUUGCUGGGUAGUUUGGCCCAUUUGUGAUAUUGCUCCCAAAAAGAACUUUGGGUUUCUUGAGGAGGUGCUUCCCUCUAAAGGGCAAGCAGGGGUACCUGGACAGGCGGUGGGCUGCCUCGAGUUUGUUAUCUCAUUGGAAACAUUUAUGUCUGGCCUAGCAGGGGAUCCUAGGGCUUGGCCCGCUUGGCCAUAGAAUUUGAUGGCCUCUGGCAGCGUUUCUGGCCUGAAUAGCGUCCCCAUGUGGUGCACAAAACAUUGGUUUCACGUGUUCCUCACAUUGUUUAGGUUUUUUCUUUUUGCAGACAGGGCCUUUGCAGAUGCCUCCAGAGCUUGCCUCUCCUGCAGAGGAUGACUUGCUGAUGCCCCAGGUGCCUUCUUCCAGAAGGAAGCGUCUUCAGAGGCAGGAAAAAGUGGAACAGGGAUGAUGCUUACACCUCCUUGCAGGUAAAUCAUCCCUGGGCUCUGAUGAUGAUUCAGACAUCACCUUGGACCUCUCCAGGGGUCAGGGUGAGGCUGUUCCGGGUCUUUAGGGAUCAUCCUGGAUAGCUCAGCUGGUCAGCGUAUGGUGCCGGUAAUGCCUAGGUUGCAGGAUCGGUCCCUGUAUGGGACAGCUGCAUGCUCCCUCAUCACUCUACCCGGACACUGAGGUCCAGCGUCGAGGGCCUUUCUGGUGGUUCCCUCACUGUGAGAACCCAAGUUACAGGGAACCAGGUGGAGGGCCUUCUCGGAAGUGGCACCCGCCCUGUGGUACACCCUCCCACCCGAUGUCUACUACCAGACUUUUAGAAGACAUCUAAGGCAGCCCUGUUUAGGGAAGCUUUUAAUGUUUGAUGCAUUAUUGUAUUUUAAUAUUUUGUUGGAAGCUGUCCAGAGUGGCUGGGGAAGCCCAGCCAGAUGGGCGGGGUACAAAUAGAUUAUUAUUAUUAUUAUUAUUAUUAUUAUUAUUAUUAUUAUAUUGUGGGAGAGUGGACUAGAUGAUCCUCGGAGUCCCUUCCCACCCCACUAUUCUAUAAGUGGUAAUUCACUAUGAUGGGAAUGUUAGACGCAGGGCUGCCAUCAUCCCCUCAGCUCGCUAGGAUCGCAGGGACGGGGACAUGUGGACCAAUUGAGCAGCUCCACAUUUGAAAUGGAAAUUCCCUGAGCAAUAGAACCUGAAGCUGGUAUGGAGGAAGCUGGCCCGGUGGCAGCUUUGUUGGGACUUCUUUAGGGUUUCUGGCCAGUGUUAGCCCUGUAAAUUUACACAUCAUGGUGGCAACACAAGGCAGGGCUUCUUGCCCAAGCGGGGGCUGGCAAGCAAUAACUCAAUACCUCUUGCCCAUAUUUCCAUAAAAAUAUCUCCCUUUAAAGCCUGGCUAAAAGGUUAUCUAGAUGGGUCAGUAGCUUUGUGCUUGUGGGAAGGGUUUUUCCCAAGGUGUUGGAUUCUUCUGGCUUUUCAGCCAGUGGCUCAGAAUACAGCAACUCAAAAGCCACUUAGAGAGCUACCUGUGGUAGCCAGAAAGAAGGUUAGGAAGCAGCUUGCAUUGGGACGUAUGGUGGGAUCCCCUUGAUUCUCCUUCUAGUCCCGAUUUUCAUUUAUCCCCAUUGGGGAUCGUCCCUAAAAAAGCCCCAUAUAAUUCCAUCUGAUCCAUAUUUAUCGCAUCCCAAAGGCACCUCAGUGAAUGAUGCUAUCCCUCCGGAAUUGUUCCGUGAAAUAUGCAUCUUUGGAUCAGGCAGUUGAGCUUACCAACAAAUUGGAGGAGGUGCCUUGUUGGCAUUAUGCGAUAUUGAAUCAGCUGUUAGGCUGCUGCCGGUUCACCCUCAAGAUUUUAAGUAGUUAGGCUUUAAUUGGAUGGUCCUUAUCUUGAUAAGGCGAUGCCAGUGGGUUGCUCAAUAGGCUGUGCAGCACUUGAGUCCUUUAGCACCUUUCUGGAUUGAACAUUGCGAGUCAAGACUCGUUUAACUGGGGGUAUCAUUAUGUGGAUUAUUUUACUGGCUGGUUCAUGUGACAUCAGCCUCUGCUUAGGCUUACUGGAUGCCCCUUUAUUCCCUGAGGAGCUGGGUGUUCUGUUGGCAGUGGAGGACAGUGGCUCCUACUGCCCCUUUUAACGUAUUUGGGGGCUAGCUGGAUACCGUUGCUCAAACAUCUGCUUGCCUGUGGAAAAGCUGUUUGCCUUGAAGGACGUUAUUCUUGUAAUACUUCCUCUGAAGCAAGUGUUGCUUUGUCAGAUCCUAUCAUUCCUAGGUCAGUUACAUUUUGCAUGCAGGGUGGUUGCUCCAGGCUGCCCCUUCCAUUCCUGCUUGGCCAGGUGGUCUCAUGGCCCGGGGUCCCUUCAUCAUCAUGUACAGUGGCCUUGAGCCUGGCAGGGCAAGGCAAUCACAUGUGACCUAACUUUUCUCGAGUUUUCCCCAUUGUAGUGUCAGCGCACAUCUGGACUGAGGAGUUUAGGGACCGUCGGGUCUGUCUUGGUCUGAUAACCAGGCAGUGUGAGAGUCCUGGCAAAACGGUCCUCAUGCUCUGGCAGAGUCUUCGCACUGCUUAAGGUUUAAUAUUGCAUUUCUGCUCGCUUUAUUUCGGGAUUAUCUAAUGUUUUUGCUGUCGCUCUAUCCCGUUUUUUCAGUUGGAGAGCUUCAGAUCCUGGGCUCUGGACGCCCAGCUAUAGCCGGAUUUUUCUGGAGCUCCUGUGGCACUUGGCAAUAAUUAAUAAUUAUGAGGAGUAGUUAAGUUUCCCCAUCCGCUUUCAGGUCUUAUGAGAAGGCCUGGACUGAUUUCUUAAAAUUUAGCUGGCAGUCCUCGGCCAUUCAGAGGGACCUGCCCCCUUCCUCUGAGCAGGACCUGCAGUAAUUCGCCCACCUGCUGCAGAUCGGAUGCACUGUUAAAACUAUCAGAAUUCAGUCCGCUGCAAUGUCUGCUAGAGUAAAGCUUUAAUUUUUCAGAGACCCUUCUAAAAGUGUGUCGUGCGCAGGGUCUCGGAAGGUUGGAAUAGGCUCCAACCUUCACAGGACAGCAGGCAGGAAGCUGGUCAAUCUUUGACCUAUGCAGUAUCCGCAACAAGUUAAGACUUGUCGGCUGGUUCAAGAUCAAGACGAGACUUCUUUCAGUAUUCCAUUGUAAUUUUGGUGUACUUAUCAUUAAAAAAAAAAAAAAAGUAAUUUUGGUGUACUGAGGGUUGGGGAAAUUGUGUUGGAGCCAGCACGGGGCUGAGAGUUUGGAGGCUUAUUGCCUCAGGACAUUUCCUUAUCUGCUUUGGAGCUUGUCAUAAGUGUCUGGAGCUCUAAGUCAGACCUAGUGAGCAGGGUUGCCACCAUCAGGCUUCCAGUCACAGGUGAGGUGGGCCCUUGCCCUGUUAUUGGAUACCGGAAAUAUUUGGCUUUUCGUUCCCUGGGGCUGGCUCGAUCCUAGUGCACUGAAAUGGGUUCCGGUUCGACAGGCAUCUAAUUGCUCACGUCGUGUGCCAGUUAUUGCAGCCUGCGGCUUGCCUACCGCUGAACACGCCUCAUUCCUUCCGAAUAGGUGCUGCUGCAAAGGCUGUGCACUGGGGCCUGUUAGUAGACAGGAUUGUGAAUACGGGUCUGACGCUGACAAAGGUUAUGUCAGGAAGCGUCGCCAAUGAUGCCUGUGCUGAUGUCUGUCUGUUAUUCCUUUUUUCAUAGGAGCAGCUGUGCGCAUUUGGAUUGUCGGCCACAGCAUCAUGCACUGAGCUGGCAAGCACCCUGACGAGUCUGGACUGGGGGUGCCAUCUCGGCCUUCCUGCCCAUGUUUCUAGCUCCAGUCCGCAUCUGGAUUGUGGGGCACAGCAUCGUUUACUGGCCUGGCAUCAGAGCUAGGCAGUCUGGAAGGGGACUGGGUCUUGGCCUCCCGCAGCAUGUGCAGGUGUUGUGGAUGUCCAGGCGCAGAAUGCAGUGGAGCGAAUUCAUCCUGCUAAUUAAGCAGAGGGUGCUUUCGGAUGGCCCCCCCAUGGCAAUUGUGGUUCAGCUGGGGGAGAACGAUGUGGCAACUUAUGAUUGCUUUACUUUGCGCUCCACGAUUCAGAGAGAUUUGGGGGAAUUGGUGACCUUAAUACCCACAGUUAAAAUAUUUUGGUCACAAUUGCUGCAAAGGCGCAAUUGGCACGGUAUUUCUCGACCUGAAGCUGCUGAAAGGGCCAGGAAGCGCAUUAAUUCCGCAGUGUGUAAGAAGGUGGCAGAAUUGGGUGGAUUGGUUAUUUCCCGCCCGGAUAUUACCUUCAAGGCUCUGGCCCUUUACCGCAAUGAUGGAGUACAUCUCUCUGUACUGGGGAAUGAUGUUUGGUUGGAUGCGGUAACUGCAAGGUUGAAGGUUGGGUUGGGAUUGUGAGUGGUUGGCGGCGAGUGUAAAGGGCUCGAUUGGCGGUUAGGCAUUGGUUAUAAAUUGGUGGAGGAGGGGUUAGGAUAGGCUGGGCCUGCCCCUCCAUGGUUGCUGCGGAAAGGGAAUUCCGUUAAAGGAAUCCUGGGGCUUGCCAUCUUUUCAUCCAAUCCCUGGAAUGGGACUAGGGCCGGCAAGCCUUCGGGGAGCAUGCGGAUGAGAAUUGAGGGUCUGUGACUCAGCUCCAUUUCUCCCCGACUUGCUUUCCCCUGCACUGUCUUUCGGUGGUGCCCGGAAGUCAGUUCUGUCCCCAGGCGGGGGGACAGAUAGUCUUAACCAAUGCCUAAACAACCACUCACGGUUUUGUAUUUAAAUAAAGUUGUGGCCAAAAUUAUGCCAAAAACCUUAAACAAAAAUUAAGUGUGUGUUGUGAGUUAUUUGGGGGGUGGCUUGGGGACCUCGACACGUAACUCUGUGAGAAUGUCUACUAACACUGCUGGACCAUCCAGAACCUGAACUAAAACCCUCAGAUUUUUAAAGAGAAGGUGUGUUGCCCUCACUGCCUUCCCAUCUCCUCACUGCUCAGUGCUAGCGAUCUCUGCUGUCCGCCAUUGCCCGUGGCAGACCUGGAAGCUUGUGGAUGUAAUCUCAGAGCUUCUGUCUAUAAUCUUUGAGAAUUCUUGGAGAGCAGGUAAGGGCCCUGUGGACAGACAGAAGCUUCCUUGGAGGUUUUUAAGCAUAGGUUGUAUGGCCAUCUGCCAUAUAAUCUAGUUGAGAUUCUUGCAUUGCAGGGG
rnacentral:lncRNA from 1 species